rnacentral:misc_RNA from 1 species
GAUGAAGAACGUAGCGAAAUGCGAUAAGUAGUGUGAAUUGCAGAAUUCAGUGAAUCAUCGAAUCUUUGAACGCACAUUGCGCCCCUUGGUAUUCCAUGGGGCAUGCCUGUUCGAGCGUCAUUUGUACCUUCAAGCUUUGCUUGGUGUUGGGUGUUUGUCCUGAGGGACUCGCCUUAAAGUAAUUGGCAGCCAGUGUUCGGUUUUGAAGCGCAGCACAAGUCGCGAUUCAAAGCUAUACGCCCGCUUCCACAAGCCUUUUUCACUUUUGACCUCGGAUCAGGUAGGGAUACCCGCUGAACUUAAGCAUAUCAAUAAGCGGAGGA